UACGGGGGGGGGCAAGCGUUGUUCGGAAUUACUGGGCGUAAAGGGCUCGUAGGUGGCCAACUAAGUCGGACGUGAAAUCCCUCGGCUUAACCGGGGAACUGCAUCCGAUACUGGAUGGCUUGAGUUCGGGGAGAGGGAUGCGGAAUUCCAGGUGUAGCGGUGAAAUGCGUAGAUAUCUGGAGGAACACCGGUGGCGAAGGCGGCAUCCUGGACCGACACUGACGCUGAGGCGCGAAAGCCAGGGGAGCAAACGGG
rnacentral:rRNA from 1 species